GUGUAUCCAAUGGUUUAAGUAGUCAUCCUUAUCAGAUCGUCACGUCCUGAACCACUCAAUAAUUUUCAAUUUUCCGUUUACUUCUCCGAAUGGUUCCGCCUGUUUUCCGAUCACUUUUCGACGACGUCAAACCAGUUAGCAUUUCUCUG
ensembl:ncRNA F11H8.5 ncRNA